UUAUUAUUGCAACAUGUAAUCAAUAUAAAAAUAUCAAUGAGAUAUCUUACAUUUUUUUUUCCGACUAGGUCUUCAAAACCCUGUGUGUCUGCACAGACUUUCUCUUUUGUCUGCAUCUCGUGGUGUCUGGGGCAACAGCAGAGUGGAAAGAGAAUGUGUGGAUCAGACAUACCUGGGUGGAAACUGACUCUACCAACGACUGGCUGGCUGCAAGACCUUGGCGAUUAUCCUUAACCUAGCCUCAGUCUCAACUUGUGGAAGAAUAGAGUCAUGAGGGAUGUCUUUCUCACUGUGUUCAUAUCAUUGUCUGAUGAUUAGAAUGACUGACAUGAUAAAUGCAGUCAUUAACUCUGGCACGUAGCAGCAGAAGAGAGCAUUGGAAAGAGUCCAGUGGAGCAGAGAAAGGUGGGGAGUGGACGAUCAAGGACAGCCAGGUCUUGAUUUGGAAAAGAUGCCCAUGGAAAGGACACUCACUGAAAAGGUGACCUGUAUACUAAAUAAUGAAACAUAGAUUUUACCCGCCAUGAACACGUGUAGAAGCCCUGAAGGCUUUUCAGCCAGGAGUGAUGAGAAUAGACCGGCAUUACAAUCAUUCUGAUACUGAAACAUAGGUUAGUGAGUGGGGGUUAUGGGAAUUUGGGAGAGAGUAAGUCUUAGUAUGCUUUUUGGGGUACCUAUCCUACCUAUCUUAUAUAUUUAAUAAGAGCAUGGCUUCUCGAGGGCAGGUACA